CCAGGACGCUGUCGGAUUUACUGGGCGUAAGGGUGCGUAGGUGGAUAUUUAAGUCAGAUGUGAAAUCCCUGAGCUCAACUCAGGGCCUGCAUUUGAAACUGGAUGUCUGGAGUGCGGGAGAGGUAAGUGGAAUUCCUAGUGUAGCGGUGAAAUGCGUAGAGAUUAGGAAGAACACCAGUGGCGAAGGCGACUUACUGGACCGUAACUGACACUGAGGCACGAAAGCGUGGGUAGCAAACAGGAUUAGAUACCCUGGUAGUCCACGCCGUAAACGAUGAGUACUAGGUGUAGGGGGUAUCGACUCCCCCUGUGCCGCAGUUAACACAAUAAGUACUCCGCCUGGGAAGUACGAUCGCAAGAUUAAAACUCAAAGGAAUUGACGGGGGCCCGCACAAGCAGCGGAGCAUGUGGUUUAAUUCGAAGCAACGCGAAGAACCUUACCUAGACUUGACAUACCCUGAAUUACUCGUAACUGAGGAAGCUUUUCGGAGCAGGGAUACAGGUGGUGCAUGGUUGUCGUCAGCUCGUGUCGUGAGAUGUUAGGUUAAGUCCUGCAACGAGCGCAACCCUUAUCAUUAGUUGCUACCAUUCAGUUGAGCACUCUAGUGAGACUGCCCGGGUUAACCGGGAGGAAGGUGGGGAUGACGUCAAAUCAUCAUGCCCCUUAUGUCUAGGGCUACACACGUGCUACAAUGGUGAGUACAAAGAGAUGCAAUCCCGCGAGGGGGAGCCAAACUUAUAAAACUCAUCUCAGUUCGGAUUGUAGGCUGAAACUCGCCUACAUGAAGCUGGAGUUGCUAGUAAUCGCGAAUCAGCAUGUCGCGGUGAAUACGUUCCCGGGCCUUGUACACACCGCCCGUCACACCAUGAGAGCUGGCAACACCCGAAGUCCGUAGUCUAACCGUAAGGAGGACGCGGCCGAAGGUGGGGUUAGUGAUUGGGGUGAAGUCGUAACAAGGUAAC
rnacentral:rRNA from 1 species